GAGAGAGAGAGAGAGAGGUGGUGGGAGGUGGACGUUUGUGGUGGCGGUGGUGGAGGUCGAGAUGGAGUGAAGAGACAGGAAGGAGGCAGAGGAAGUCCCGCAAGUCCUUCACUGUGGAGGAGGACCGAGGAAUCCUUCACUUCAUCUCCUCCAACCAUCGCUCUCGGGAAGUGGAGUGUGUGGGGGUGGACCAGCCUAGAGAAGCCUCACCCCAUGGCUACAAACACCCCACACUGAGGCAGGACUUGUACCACACCACAGCCACUCACAGCCUCACCACAGCCACCUUAUAAUCCCACCACACCCAGCCACAGCUGCACAAACCCACUACAAGGCCAUCAUCACCACCAAAAGCCCUCCUGUCACCACUACAAGGCCAUCAUCACCAAUUCAAGGCCCAUCAUCAUCACUACAAGGCCCCCAUCACCACUAUAAAGCCCAUCCUCACCACUAGAAGCCCUCCCAUCACCACAACACACCCUUCUAUCACCACCAGAACCCCAGAUCACCACCAAAACCCCUAACACCACCAC